GACGAACGCUGGCGGCGUGCUUAACACAUGCAAGUCGUGCGGUAAGGCCCUUUCGGGGGUACACGAGCGGCGAACGGGUGAGUAACACGUGAGCAACCUGCCCUUCACUUUGGGAUAACUGCCGGAAACGGUGGCUAAUACCGGAUAUGACUUCCUCACGCAUGUGGGGUGGUGGAAAGCCUUCGGGUGGUGGGGGAUGGGCUCGCGGUCUAUCAGCUUGUUGGUGGGGUGAUGGCCUACCAAGGCUUCGACGGGUAGCCGGCCUGAGAGGGUGACCGGCCACACUGGGACUGAGACACGGCCCAGACUCCUACGGGAGGCAGCAGUGGGGAAUAUUGGACAAUGGGCGAAAGCCUGAUCCAGCAACGCCGCGUGAGGGAUGACGGCCUUCGGGUUGUAAACCGCUUUCGCCUGCGACGAAGCGAGAGUGACGGUAGCAGGUAAAGAAGCACCGGCCAACUACGUG
rnacentral:rRNA from 1 species